rnacentral:rRNA from 1 species
AGAGUUUGAUCCUGGCUCAGAUUGAACGCUGGCGGCAUGCCUUACACAUGCAAGUCGAGCGGCAGCGCGGGGGCAACCCUGGCGGCGAGCGGCGGACGGGUGAGUAAUGCAUCGGAACGUGUCCUCUUGUGGGGGAUAACCAGUCGAAAGAUUGGCUAAUACCGCAUGAGAUCGAGAGAUGAAAGCAGGGGACCCGCAAGGGCCUUGCGCGAGAGGAGCGGCCGAUGCCCGAUUAGCUAGUUGGCGGGGUAAAAGCCCACCAAGGCGACGAUCGGUAGCUGGUCUGAGAGGACGACCAGCCACACUGGGACUGAGACACGGCCCAGACUCCUACGGGAGGCAGCAGUGGGGAAUUUUGGACAAUGGGGGCAACCCUGAUCCAGCCAUGCCGCGUGUGUGAAGAAGGCCUUCGGGUUGUAAAGCACUUUCGGACGGAACGAAAUCGCACGGGUGAAUAUCCCGUGUGGAUGACGGUACCGUAAGAAGAAGCACCGGCUAACUACGUGCCAGCAGCCGCGGUAAUACGUAGGGUGCGAGCGUUAAUCGGAAUUACUGGGCGUAAAGUGUGCGCAGGCGGCGUUGCAAGUCGAGUGUGAAAGCCCCGGGCUUAACUUGGGAAUUGCGCUCGAAACUACGAUGCUGGAGUAUGGCAGAGGAAGGUGGAAUUCCACGUGUAGCGGUGAAAUGCGUAGAGAUGUGGAGGAACACCGAUGGCGAAGGCAGCCUUCUGGGCCAAUACUGACGCUCAUGCACGAAAGCGUGGGGGAGCAAACAGGAUUAGAUACCCUGGUAGUCCACGC